UACGAAGGGGGCUAGCGUUGCUCGGAAUCACUGGGCUUAAAGGGCGCGUAGGCGGGUGCUCAAGUCUGUGGUGAAAUCCUCCAGCUUAACUGGAGAACUGCCAUGGAUACUGGGUGUCUCGAGGAAGAUAGGGGUAUGCGGAACGAUUGGUGGAGCGGUGAAAUGCGUUGAUAUCAAUCGGAACUCCGGUGGCGAAGGCGGCAUACUGGAUCUUAUCUGACGCUGGAGGCGCGAAAGCUAGGGGAGCAAACGGG
rnacentral:rRNA from 1 species